UACGUAGGGUGCAAGCGUUGUCCGGAAUUAUUGGGCGUAAAGAGCUCGUAGGCGGUUUGUCGCGUCGGCUGUGAAAUCCCGGAGCUCAACUCCGGGCCUGCAGUCGAUACGGGCAGACUUGAGUGUUGCAGGGGAGACUGGAAUUCCUGGUGUAGCGGUGAAAUGCGCAGAUAUCAGGAAGAACACCCGUGGCGAAGGCGGUUCUCUGGGACGGUACUGACGCUGAGACGCGAAAGCGUGGGGAGCGAACAGG
rnacentral:rRNA from 1 species